CAGCAGCCGCGGGAAUACGUAGGGUGCAAGCGUUAAUCGGAAUUACUGGGCGUAAAGCGUGCGCAGGCGGUUUUGUAAGUCUGUCGUGAAAUCCCCGGGCUCAACCUGGGAAUGGCGAUGGAGACUGCAAGGCUAGAAUCUGGCAGAGGGGGGUAGAAUUCCACGUGUAGCGGUGAAAUGCGUAGAGAUCUGGAGGAAUACCGGUGGCGAAGGCGGCCCCCUGGACAAAGACUGACGCUCAGGUGCGAAAGCGUGGGGAGCAAACAGGAUUAGAUACCCCUGUAGUCCCUGUCUCUUAUAC
rnacentral:rRNA from 1 species